AUGAAUAUUGCCAUCCUAUCCCGUUGGCUCUGGUGCAUCUCGCGUCACGGUGGCCUCUGGUUAGACAUCAUCCGGAACAAGUACCUGCGUGGGCAACCCCUAGACUUCUGUCAGCACACUGGCCGUUCCCAGUUCUGGCAGUCGGUCGUCCAACUUCUCCCAGUCCUCCGCAUUGGGACCUCCAUCUCGGUUGGAUCUGGGGCUGCAACUUUGUUCUGGUUUAACCGGUGGGCCGGCGACACCCCCUUCACGGCACGCUUCCCUGACCUCUUCUCCAUCGCCGUCGACCCCCUGAUUUCGGUUGAGAGGGCCCUUAUUGACUUAGGGCGCCAGGCAUUCCAUAGGCCAUUUGGGCCUCCGGAUACCGCCACUUGGCGCGAGUUGCUUGAUUGCGUUGCUCUCCACGAGCCGAUAGUGGAUGCUGGCCCGGAUCAGGUGAGGUGGCACCUUGAGCCGUCAGGCCAAUUCUCCACCAAGUCCCUUUACCAGGCCAUCGCCCCCUCCCACGCCUCCCCCCUUACGGCGGUGUGGUCCAUCUGCCUGCCACUGAAAAUUCGGAUCUUCAUGUGGCAGUGGAUUCAUGGACGGACCCCGUCUCGGGUCAAGGUCCGCAAGUGCAAUGGCCCGGGUUCUGGCCUUUGCCCUCUUUGCGGUGUCCCCGAAGACUUGAAUCACAUCUUCUUCUCGUGUGUGUCCGCUCAAUUUGUCUGA
rnacentral:rRNA from 1 species